AUCCUCGCUUCAGCAGCAUAUAUACUAAAAUUUGAACAAUACGUAGAAGAUUAGCAUGGCUCCUGCACAAGGAUGAUAUGUAGAUUCAUGAAGCGUUCAUAUUUUUA